UACAGAGGGUGCGAGCGUUAAUCGGAAUUACUGGGCGUAAAGCGUGCGUAGACGGUUAUGUAAGUCGGGUGUGAAAGCCCCGGGCUCAACCUGGGAAUGCCAUUCGAGACUGCAUAGCUAGGGUGCGGAAGAGGGAAGCGGAAUUUCAGGUGUAGCGGUGAAAUGCGUAGAUAUCUGGAGGAACACCGGUGGCGAAGGCGACAUCCUGGACCGGUAUUGACGCUGAGGCGCGAAAGCCAGGGGAGCAAACGGG
rnacentral:rRNA from 1 species